UACGGGGGGGCAAGCGGUUGUUCGGAAUUACUGGGCGUAAAGGGCUCGUAGGUGGCCAACUAAGUCAACGUGAAAUCCCUCGGCUUAACCGGGAACUGCGUCUGAUACUGGAUGGCUUGAGUUUGGGAGAGGGAUGGCGGAAUUCCAGGUGUAGCGGAUGAAAUGCGUAGAUAUCUGGAGGAACACCGGUGGCGAAGGCGGCAUCCUGGACCAACACUGACACUGAGGAGCGAAAGCCAGGGAGCAAACGGG
rnacentral:rRNA from 1 species